AACGAACGCUGGCGGCAUGCCUAACACAUGCAAGUCGAACGAGACCUUCGGGUCUAGUGGCGCACGGGUGCGUAACGCGUGGGAACCUGCCCUUAGGUUCGGACUAACUCCCCGAAAGGGGUGCUAAUACCGGAUAAUGUCUUCGGACCAAAGAUUUAUCGCCUUUGGAUGGGCCCGCGUUGGAUUAGCUAGUUGGUAUGGUAAAAGCCUACCAAGGCGACGAUCCAUAGCUGGUCUGAGAGGAUGAUCAGCCACACUGGGACUGAGACACGGCCCAGACUCCUACGGGAGGCAGCAGUGGGGAAUAUUGGACAAUGGGCGAGAGCCUGAUCCAGCAAUGCCGCGUGAGUGAUGAAGGCCUUAGGGUUGUAAAGCUCUUUUACCCGGGAUGAUAAUGACAGUACCGGGAGAAUAAGCUCCGGCUAACUCCGUG
rnacentral:rRNA from 1 species